GACGAACGCUGGCGGCAGGCCUAACACAUGCAAGUCGAACGAGUGGCGGACGGGUGAGAAAUGUCUGGGAAACUGCCUGCUGGAGGGGGAUAACUACUGGAAACGGUAGCUAAUACCGCAUACCAUCGGAUGUGCCCAUAUGGGAGUAGCUUGUGGGUGGGGUAAACGCUCACCUAGGCGACGAUCCCUAGCUGGUCUGAGAGGAUGACCAGCCACACUGGAACUGAGACACGGUCCAGACUCCUACGGGAGGCAGCAGUGGGGAAUAUUGCACAAUGGGCGCAAGCCUGAUGCAGCCAUGCAGCGUGUAUGAAGAAGGCCUUCGGGUUGUAAAGUACUUUCAGCGGGGAGGCGUUACCCGCAGAAGAAGCACCGGCUAACUCCGUGCCAGCCGCCGCGGUAAUAC
rnacentral:rRNA from 1 species